GGGGAAGCCGGUGCAAUUCCGGCGCUGACCCGCAACCGUGAGCCGCCCGCCGAGCCUCCCCGAGACUCCCGGACGGUGAGCCGGACUGCCC
rnacentral:ncRNA from 2 species